AAUUGCAGAAUCCCGUGAACCAUCGAGUCUUUGAACGCAAGUUGCGCCCGAAGCCGUCAGGCCGAGGGCACGUCUGCCUGGGCGUCACGCAACGUCGCCGGCGCCCGAUCCUCCGGGCGCGGCGGAUGAUGGCCUCCCGGGAGCCACGACUCCCGGCCGGCCGAAAAGGGGGCCCUACGUGACGGCCGCCACGAUCCACGGUGGUUGAGUGAGCGUUCGCUCGAGGCCAGGACGUGCGCGCGCCGUCCGACCGGGAGGGCCCGCCGGAGGGGGAAGAGCCCCCCGCUCGAACGCGACCCCAGGUCAGGCGGGGCUACCCGCUGAGUUUA
rnacentral:rRNA from 1 species